GAAAGCCGGUGCUAUUGGUGCCAACAACCAGGCAGCACAAUCAAUUCUAAAACAGGACUCAAAAGAAAAAAGAACACACCAGACCUUACCAAGAUAAACUGUUUCCUAAUUGGCACUAGGGAAUUGCCUCCUCCGGUUGCACAACCAUAUCAAAUACUUCCUACUGCAGCAGAUGACAGAACACCAUCCUCAAAAUUGUUUAAGUUAAAAUCACCAUGUAUU
rnacentral:lncRNA from 1 species